UCCAAAAAACUACACAAAACGAAAGUAGGAACCUCCAAAGUAUAAGUAAAUCUAUACAACUAUGAGGUUCCACAGACCAUGUCCCAUGUGGGAAUAUACAAAAAACAGUCUAUCCUUGCUAGCCCACACCCUUGGAACUACACGUCAACAACCAAUCAAGUUGGACCAUAUUAAGGGGAAUACCCCUAAAAGUUGUGGUGCAAGAGGCCCAAAAUGAGCCUAAGAAAUGAAUUAUGUCCCAAAGACUCUCUGAAGUUCUCGCCUUGUCCUCAAAAAUCCUAACAUUUCUUUCCCACCACACAACCCACAUCAAAGCAAGACAAGUGAACUACCACAACACCUUGCCUCAAAUGUUACUUCUCAAUCCUUUAUAUGAGAUAAUCAUCAUGUCACAUACACCCUUAGGAGGAACUCAAUCCAUAUGAGCCCAACUGAAUUGCAUAGCCCCAAACUCAAAGGACAAUGCAGGAAAAUAUGAUCUACUGUUUCACCACUCUCCAUACACAACAAACAAACAUCAGGAUUAAGAGCUUUGUAGGAUCUUCUCAAUUU
rnacentral:lncRNA from 1 species